AGCACUCAGUCCACUGAGCCACACCAGCCAGGAUAAUAUCUGUUCUUGAGAAUGGAAAUGACACAAAACCUCUACGGCUCUCCUGACACUGAAAUGAUGUGCUGUGUUUUUAGUGAGAGUCAAGACUGUGUUCUCAUGCAUCGGCCUUUUAACAAAGUACAGGGCAACAGUUCCUAUAUAGGUAGUCACUCUAAUUUGUCCUAGUACGAGGAGAAACUGCCAUAUUUUUGCGUGAAGCGUUUAUAAAAUAAGAUUUAUUUCAUCUGCUCUUACAAUUUUAUUUUGGCCUGUCUUUUCUAAUUGGUUGUAGAAAUUUAGAAAAUCUAAUAUAGCCAAGAAUGAAAGAAGAACCCUAGAUUUUCUCCACUUGAUUUUCCUAUGUGUAGAGAAUUAAAAAUAAGGCAUUUUCACUUGUAUUGACCAGCUGAUGCAUGUUGAACACUUGGGCUUACAACUAACCAACUAGGCGAGGCAUUGAUAGAAUCUUCAGGUAAUUCACCCAGAACAUAGGGCAUCUUCAUCAUCUAUUUCAUGAUGACUCUUCCAUGAUCAAAGAUAUCUCACACAUUCCAGUAAGAGGCACCACCUUUACUAACACUGAAAUGGGAAGUUGGUGAUCAGCCACUUGACUGGCGGGCCUUGUCGUGGAUGAAAUGCUUACAGUAAGCAAUCUAAUGCUUCCAGUGUGACUCUUCUACUUGGAGAGGCAUCCAAGCUGGGCCUGUUACAAAUACUCCUUAGAGCAAAUCAUCUUUUUUAACCAGUCACAGUUUAGAUUUGGGCUUGAUCUCCCAUGAACUUCAGAAUGGAGAAAAAAAUGUCAAUUUCCAGGGGCUAGUGCUUGCCACCAAGAGCAUAGAAUGUAUUUGUACUUCUUUGCCUGAAUUUCAGAUAACUCAUUUUGUCCCCAUGGGAUCUGAGAAGUGUGUUUUAGCUUUCCAGUCCUGCCUUCCAACAUCCUGUAGCAGAAACUGGGGAUUUAGGAAUGAAAAAAGGUUUGGAUGUGAAUCCUGUUUGUUAGCACUGAGGAAUGCAGGUCUAGAAACAUCGGGUGUUUCUGGUUGGAAGGAAGUUUGGUUCAUUUAAGCUUGUGUGAAUGUCAGCACAUGCAGUCGCCAAAUCAGUUAGCUUAGAACCUGCAAGCUGAGUUCUCCGUGACACGACACUGAGGGCUAGAGGGUUUAAAAUAGAUGUCAGAUGAUACCAACUGCAACUCGGUGCAAGUCCACAGCCCUGAGAAACCUGUACAGAGUGGAAGCCAAAAUGGAAGGAAACAGAAAAGAAGCAGCUAGGACAGCAGAAGAGGUCUGUGGUGGAAUUUCAGGAUUCUCUUUCAAAAUAGA